rnacentral:rRNA from 1 species
GGUGAACGCUGGCGGCGUGCCUAACACAUGCAAGUCGAUCGGAGCAGCAAUGCUUAGAGGCGAACGGGUGAGGAAAACGUAGUAACCAACCCUUUAGACUGGGAUAGCCACUGGAAACGGUGGGUAAUACCGGAUAAGCUCGAGAGAGGAAAGGCAGAGAAGCGCUAAAGGACGGAACUGCGCCCCAUCAGAUAGUUGGUGAGGUAAAGGCUUACCAAGUCAAAGACGGGAAACCGACGUGAGAGCGUGUACGGUCACAAGGGCACUGAGAGACGGGCCCUACUCCUACGGGAGGCAGCAGUGGGGAAUAUUGGACAAUGGACGAAAGUCUGAUCCAGCGACGCCGCGUGGAGGAAGAAGUCCUUCGGGAUGUAAACUCAUGAAGCUAACGAAUAAGACGGAAGGGGAACCUUACCGGGAGAAGGUAAUUAAGUAGAAAAGACCCGGCUAACUACGUAGCCAGCAGCCGCGGUAAAACGUAGACGUG